rnacentral:rRNA from 1 species
UACGAAGGGGGCUAGCGUUGCUCGGAAUUAUUGGGCGUAAAGGGCUCGUAGGCGGUUUGUCACGUCAGGAGUGAAAACUCGGGGCUCAACCCCGAGCCUGCUUCUGAUACGGGCAGACUAGAGGUAUGCAGGGGAGAACGGAAUUCCUGGUGUAGCGGUGAAAUGCGCAGAUAUCAGGAGGAACACCGGUGGCGAAGGCGGGUCUCUGGGCCGAUACUGACGCUGAGGAGCGAAAGCGUGGGGAGCGAACAGG